CAUCGGGUUGCUGAAAAGGAUGAUGUCCCAUUGAAAGAGGCAAAGAUGGAAGAAGCGAAGGCUCGUAUUUGUAGGGCCAAAGGCUUAAUGUUCAUUGAUGUAAAAAUCAAUGGGAAGCCAAUCAGGGCUAUGGUGGAUACUGGUGCUACCCACAACUACCUUGCAUGCACCGAAGUAGAGCGGCUCGGACUGGUUCUAGAAAAGGGUAGUGGAAAAGUCAAAGCAAUCAACUCCGCUGCUCAACCAAUAGCUGGAGUGGCAAAAUCGGUGUUGAUCAAAGCAGGUCCUUUCGAGGGAAGGACAAAUUUAUCUGCAGUUCAGAUGGAUGAUUUCAAGCUUAUUCUGGGAUUGGAAUUUCUUCGGGAUACUAAGACAGCAGUGUUGCCAUAUUCCGAUUCGUUAAUGAUGAUGGGUAAUAAGCCGUGUGUCAUCCCUACACAGGUUGGGAGGAUGGGCGAGAAGAGUAUCUCAGCCAUGCAAUUUAGUAAAGGUUUCAAGAGAAGUGAACCCUCCUUUUUGUGUACUCUUCGAUUAGAGGAGGUCGAAGAGGCGAAUGGUCCUAUUCCAAAACCCGUUAAAAGGCUUAUUCGGGAAUUUGAGGACAUCAUGCCGGAAGAAUUACCAAAGAAAUUACCACCAAGAAGGACGAUUGAUCAUGAGAUCGAACUUAUUCCAGGCGCUAAAGCUCCCGCCAGGGCACCGUACCGUAUGUCUCAGCCUGAGCUUGAAGAGCUUAGGAAGCAGUUGGGGGAAAUGUUGGAGAGUGGAAUCAUUGUGCCUGCAAAGUCGCCAUACGGAGCUCCUGUAUUGUUUCAGAAAAAGACUGAUGGUUCUCUUAGAAUGUGCUGUGACUAUCGAGCCCUGAACAAGAUUACUGUAAAGAAUAGCUAUCCUAUCCCACUGGUUGCAGAUUGCUUCGAUCGACUGAGUCGGGCGAAGUAUUACACAAAAAUUGAUCUUAGGUCCGGAUACUGGCAAGUUCGGAUUAAGGAGGGAGACGAAGCAAAGACUACGGUGGUAACCAGAUAUGGAGCCUUUGAAUUUAAG
rnacentral:lncRNA from 1 species